rnacentral:rRNA from 1 species
GAUGAACGCUGGCGGCGUGCCUAAUACAUGCAAGUCGAGCGAACAGACGAGGAGCUUGCUCCUCUGACGUUAGCGGCGGACGGGUGAGUAACACGUGGAUAACCUACCUAUAAGACUGGGAUAACUUCGGGAAACCGGAGCUAAUACCGGAUAAUAUAUUGAACCGCAUGGUUCAAUAGUGAAAGACGGUUUUGCUGUCACUUAUAGAUGGAUCCGCGCCGCAUUAGCUAGUUGGUAAGGUAACGGCUUACCAAGGCAACGAUGCGUAGCCGACCUGAGAGGGUGAUCGGACACACUGGCACUGAGACACGGUCCAGACUCCUACGGGAGGCAGCAGUAGGGAAUCUUCCGCAAUGGGCGAAAGCCUGACGGAGCAAAGCCGCGUGAGUGAUGAAGGUCUUCGGAUCGUAAAACUCUGUUAUUAGGGAAGAACAAAUGUGUAAGUACCUAUGCACGUCUUGACGGUACCUAAUCAGAAAGCCACGGCUAACUACGUG